rnacentral:pre_miRNA from 1 species
CAUGUACUACCUCCGUCCGAAAAUACUUGUCCUAGAGAUGAAUGUAUCUAGACUUAUUUUAAUUAUAGAUACAUCCAUUAUAGUAUUUUUAGGACAAAUAUUUUCGGACGGAGGGAGUACAAG